GAGAGGGGGCCCCCACGGAGCAGCAGGGGGCCCCCACGGAGCAGCAGCGGGCCAAAGGGCUCCUCAAGCCGGCCAGAGCAGACGCCAAGGCCGAGGAAGCGCCCAGAGUGAGCAAGGGCUGCUAGCACGUUGUCAUCUCUCAAUGUCUCAGCAAACUAACACAGGAACAGAAAACCAAACACCGUAUGUUGUCACUCAUAAGUGGGAGUUGACGAUGGAGUCUGGCUCUGUCGCCCAGGCUCGAGGGCUCCAGUACAGUGGUGCAAUCUCAGCUCACUGUAAUAACUGCCUUCCGGGUUCAAGCGAUUCACCUGCCUCAGCCUCCCCAGUAGCUGAUAUCACAGAGCUCUUUUGGCGGAAAUCUUCAAUAGCAGUUUUUCACUAGCCAUCUUAGGCCAAUGCUCAAAGGAGAAGUUCUUCAUAAAUGUGGGAUGGACUGCUCUGAUGGACUCUGCUGUUAGUCUACUUUGAGAGCAACAGAUCAUUCAUGGUUAAGCAUAGAUUUAAAGGCUUAGCUCAAGGAUAUAAAGGAAAAAAGUCGGCCGGGUGUGGUGGCUCACGACUGUAAUCUCAGCACUUUGAGAGGCUAAGGCGGGUGGAUCAGAAAGAAAGAAAGGAAGGAAGGAAGGAAGGAAGGAAGAGAAAGAAAGGGAAUGGGGAUUAGGGAUGUCUACAGCAAGGGACUACAUUAGCAUAUCUACUCAGUACAGAAAUGAAAUUGUCCUUUGUUUUCUAUUUUAGGUCAGAACUAAAGUAGGGUAGGUGGUGUGGUAAGUCAGCUUGGCUCACAGUCUAGUCUAGCCUGGAUUUAUUAGUGAUUGUGAUAAUAUUAUGUGUUCCAUCUGGCGCUGCCAUUCUUUUAUGUCUCAAAUGUUUCAGAAUUCAGAUGGGGAAAAGGUGUAUUGGGCUUUUAAAGCCCUCAUAAGAGAAUAUUUCAUACUAUCAGAAAAAGGUACCACUUCUUCAUAUCUACUUACAAACUAUCUAAUAGAAUUACUUGUGAGUCUGAAUUGCAGUAGCAAUUCUUCCACAUCAACUUUUAAAGAAAAAAAAAAAGAAAAGAAAAAAGAAAAAAAAAUCCCUUAUCAAACACUGCAGGCAACCUCAGGUACUUCAGAAUCAAGAGGCCAUGCUGAGUCAGUGUUUGGAGUUGGGAGAGUGGGCUUUUAAUUCAAUAAGUCAGAGAGGAAAGAAUGCAUAAGGAAAGAGGCCAAAGGGAUUUAUGGUAGAGAAGGAUAGAGCCAACGAAUGAGGGAAUCAGGAAUAUGGAGUGGGAAGCAUUAUGACAGAAGUCCAGAAUGAGACUGAUCUUAUUUACAUGCUUGAGAUGAGGACAAUAGCAAAAAUUGCUCUAACAGGUAUGUUUUAAAGAAGUAGAAAAAUAAGUGGGUGCCAAUUUCACUUCUACAUGGCACUUGCUACCCUUUUCCUGUGAUGAAAAUAGAAAUCAACGUACCCUGAAUCUCCUUUUCUUUUCCCCUAUUUAUAUAAUUAUCAAGGUUUCAUUGAUUGAAUACAUUUACUGAAUUAACUUUUAAUUUGUACAUUAACGUAGUCAAAUCAGACAUCUAAAUAAAAUUAAGUUAAAUCACAUAUAGAAUAAUAGCAUUUUAAUAAUAUUAAAUUUAUACUUUUUUAAAUUUCCUAUUUAAGAAAUUGUUGAAAAUUCAUAUAAUCAUAACAUAUUUUCCCCUUAUUUUGUAUCUUUAAAAAUCUGGGGGAAUAUUUUUAUCUGUGAAUAUGUUCAUUUAUUCUGUCAGUGAAAACAAACUACUUUGGAUUUUUAUUAGAAAAUUUAAGUAGCAAGUUUUCAACUUUCAAAUUUUAUGUUUCUAAUUCAAAAGCUGUAUAUAUGUGUGUGCAUAUGUGUGAGUGUGUAACUAAUAUUCUCUUUAUGUAUUAUUCUAGUAGAUUAUAUUUUAAGUUAUCUAUUCACUUUAAAAGGGAAUAUUAUGGAAAGUUCACCAACUUUCAAAAGAUUCGAGCGAUGUAUAAAAUCUCUUGUUUUACUAGGUGUGGAGUUUUGUAAAGGCCUGAAUUUCAGUGGAAAAAAAUGUUUAAAUAUGCUUUUUUCCAGGAAGCCACUGGAAUCUCUAAAGUGUUCCUGGCUAACUGGGAAAAAAUUGCAGGGAACCAAGAGUAGCAGAUGGAAAGACAGUUGGCCAAACCUACUGCCCAUACUACACUGUUGCCAAAACCCUUGAAAGUAAUAGUCCAUUUUGGAAAUAUUUGCUGGGAGAACAAAUGUUUGCUAAUGAAACAAACAUUUGAAGUGUUAGGAAAUACCCAAAUAAAACAGUUUUGUAGCAGAAAUAAAUAUUUUACUUGAGAAAUCAUUGCCAGAGUAAAUAUGCCAUUUCAAGGUAAAAACAAAACAAAGCAUAAAAGCUAUUAGAGACAGAUCACAAAAUGUAUAAAGAAUGCAGAUUUAAUGGACUUUGUGUAUCUAUAUACCUUUCAAUAUAAUUCAUGUAAUGAUUGAUAUUUCAGCAGCAUAUUUAAACUGCAAAAAAUUUUACUUGAAUAAUAAAAGAAUGGAUAUAUUUGUGCUACAUUGUUUUAACUUAUCUAUACUACUGAAUAUAAAUGAAGCUUAAAAUUGUAUAAAUAAUCUGAAAAAUCAAGGCAAAUUCAACAUCCUUCAAGCAUACUGAGCAAAGGGCUAUGUGUUGAUGCUGUAUGUUGAAAUAAGUUUAUUAUUUGAUUUAAUUUGAUUAAAUUAAGUUCAUGAUUGUCUUAAAUGUGAAUGUUUUUACUUUGCUGAGAUAUUAGGGAGAGAUAUUUAAUAAAAGUAAGUUCAAAAAUUAUGAUCUAGAAAUAAAAGUAACUCAAAUUCUUAAUAUUUCUCUAGGUCCUUUUAAUAUUGGAAGAAUGCUGCUUUUAUUAUCUGACUUUAUCUUUAUGAUGGGUUAAUUCUUACAUAGCUCUUUUUUGAGAAGUAUAAAUAUGUAGAAUUUUGAAGGUAAUGAAGGAAUUUAAAAUCAAUGUAGUUCAAUCUGCUCACUAAUUACAGAUGGGCAAAUUGAGUUCUAGAAAGGUUAAGCUAUUAGCCCAAAUCAUAUAACAAAUUAGUCACACUACCAGGACAAGACUCUCAGUCUCCUAAUUCUUAGAGCAAAAUUUUUAAAUGUAAGGUUAUUAUUUUGUUUUGUCCUUCUUUAUGCCAUUUUCUCUACAUUCUAGGAGAUCAGAGUAAAAUUUCAUGUGACAGUAUAUUAAAAUUAGAUAUAUACACUUUCAAGAUUUUUUGAUCAUUGUUAUCUACUUUAUAAACUGAUGAGGAAGUACAAUUAAAUCUAAAACAGUGAAAUAAUGAAAUUCUCUUUAAAUUUUCGUAUUUAACACUCUUUCAGAAAAAUAAUGAAGCUCUGGAUUUAAUGCAAACUUCAUAAAUGUUUUUUCUUGUUUCAUUUGAACAUACACAUACAAUGUAUAAUUCAGUAAAUUAAGUUUAAGGUCCUGUGAAGUACAAAAUUAAUAUUGCUGAAGAGAGGUCUGGCAUUUUCCUUCAUUUCCUGGGAGGUAAUCUCUAAGCACAUGGAAUAUGCUUAGAUAGGAGUGCCUUAUAAGAAUGCCUUUGUUUACCUUCAAGACUUGGGGAAUCCUAAAUACUCUAUGCUAACCAUGUGACUUACAGUGCAGGCUUUGGACUAUCUGGUAAUAUCUUGACCUCUGGAGGGGAUGGGGACAAAGGCUGGUCAUGCGGGAAGUCUACCAAAAUUUGUGACUGAUCAUCAAUAGAAGCUCUGGACACCAAGGCCUGGAUGAUCUUCAUUAGUUGGUAGUAUUCCAUGGGUGUCAUCACACAUCAAUGAGAAAAGAAAAAUCAUUGUUUUGCAUAACUUCACUGGGAGAAACUAGAAGUUGUCCUCCACCGAGAAGACCACCAGAAGCUCAUGCUCGAAAACCUCUUGGGUCCCACCCUGUGCACUCUCUCCUUGAAUGAUUUUAAUUGGUAUCCUUUCACUAUAAUAAACUGUCAC
rnacentral:lncRNA from 1 species